CAUGUUGUGUUGUUGUUGUUGCAGGGACAGUCAUAAAGGCAGCGAGAGACCAGGUUUGGGUUUAGAAACUACUGAGCGGAAGAAGAAGGAACCCGUCGUCUGGAAUCAUGCCACGUACAAACAGGCAGUUCGGAAGGCCAUGUUUGCACGUUUCAAUGAGCUGGACUGAAAGUGAAAUGAAUGAACAAAAAGGGAAUUUGUGAAUAUACAUGCAUAAACACACACACACACGGUGUUGUGUGGUCCGUUGGCAGCUCAUUCCAGGCUUUAAUCUGUGAACUGAUACAAAAUUCCUGGAGAAGCUUAUUGUGACUAACCCCUCAUUUUGUGGAUAUGGUGAUGUGUGACUGUAU